rnacentral:rRNA from 1 species
GACGAACGCUGGCGGCGUGCUUAACACAUGCAAGUCGAACGGGAGUAUUGAAGAAGCUUGCUUUAGAGAUACUUUAGUGGCGGACGGGUGAGUAACGCGUGAGGAGCUGUCCAAUGCAGGGGGGACAACAGUUGGAAACGACUGCUAAUACCCCAUAAGCCGAGAGGUAAAAGGAUUUAUCCGGCAGAGGAGGUACUCGCGUCCUAUCAGCUAGUAGGUGAGGUAACGGCUCACCUAGGCGAAGACGGGUAGCCGGCCUGAGAGGGCGAACGGCCACACUGGAACUGAGAUACGGUCCAGACUCCUACGGGAGGCAGCAGUGGGAAUAUUGGGCAAUGGGGGGAACCCUGACCCAGCGACGCCGCGUGGGUGAAGAAAUCCUUCGGGAUGUAAAGCCCUGUUGUAUGGGAAGAGCGGAAGACGGUACCAUACGAGGAAGCCCCGGCAAACUACGUGCCAG